rnacentral:misc_RNA from 1 species
AAGAAAUGGAACAUUUUAGAAUGGAUAUCGUCGAUGGACCUAUGUGGUUGAAGGAGCAACAGAAAUCCAAUGAAAAGACUAAAGUUGGAUUUUCUGCUAGAGUUGAUACCAAGAUUAGGCAGUUGAAGGAACAGUUGAACAGAAAGAAGAAAAUCAAUGUUUAAGUCUGUUACAAGUAGUCAUAUAACUAUAAAUCAAUGUAAAAAAAAAAAGUUAUCUU